AGCGAACGCUAGCGGCAAGCUUAACACAUGCAAGUCGAGCGACGAACUUCGGUUCGGAGCGGCGGACGGGUGAGUAACGCGUAGGUAAUCUACCUUCUGGUGGGGAAUAACUCUAGGAAACUGGAGCUAAUACCGCAUAUGGCCUUCGGGUCAAAGCCUUCGGGCGCCAGUAGAUGAGCCUGCGUCCCAUUACCUAGUUGGUGGGGUAACGGCCUACCAAGGGGACGAUGGGUAGCUGGUCUGAGAGGAUGAUCAGCCACACUGGGACUGAGACACGGCCCAGACUCCUACGGGAGGCAGCAGUGGGGAAUAUUGCGCAAUGGGCGAAAGCCUGACGCAGCUAUGCCGCGUGUGUGAUGAAGGUCUCCGGAUCGUAAAGCACUGUCGAGGGGGAAGAAGUUCUGACGGUACCCCUCAAGAAAGCACCGGCUAACUCCG
rnacentral:rRNA from 1 species